rnacentral:rRNA from 1 species
GUGGUUUAAGUUCGAAGCAACGCGCAGAACCUUACCAGCCCUUGACAUCCCGGUCGCGGAUCGCAGAGAUGCUUUCCUUCAGUUCGGCUGGACCGGUGACAGGUGCUGCAUGGCUGUCGUCAGCUCGUGUCGUGAGAUGUUGGGUUAAGUCCCGCAACGAGCGCAACCCCGCCUUCAGUUGCCAACGGUUCGGCCGUGCACUCUGGAGGAACUGCCUGUGACAAGCAGGAGGAAGGUGGGGAUGACGUCAAGUCCUCAUGGCCCUUAUGGGCUGGGCUACACACGUGCUACAAUGGCGGUGACAGAGGGAUGCAAUACCGCGAGGUGGAGCAAAUCCCUAAAAGCCGUCUCAGUUCGGAUUGUUCUCUGCAACUCGAGAGCAUGAAGUUGGAAUCGCUAGUAAUCGCGGAUCAGCUCGCCGCGGUGAAUACGUUCCCGGGCCUU